AKUGAGAUCACGCCAAAGUGCAAAUUUGGAGACGCACCCAGGAGGGUGCCGGGGCUU
rnacentral:tRNA from 1 species